CCUACGGGAGGCAUCAGUGGGGGAUAUUGCACAAUGGGGGAAACCCUGAUGCAGCGACGCCGCGUGAGUGAAGAAGUAUUUCGGUAUGUAAAGCUCUAUCAGCAGGGAAGAAAAUGACAGUACCUGACUAAGAAGCCCCGGCUAACUACGUGCCAGCAGCCGCGGUAAUACGUAGGGGGCAAGCGUUAUCCGGCUUUACUGGGUGUAAAGGGAGCGUAGACGGCAGUGCAAGUCUGGAGUGAAAGGCGGGGGCUCAACCCCGGGACUGCUUUGGAAACUGUGCAGCUGGAGUGCAGGAGGGGCAAGCGGAAUUCCUGGUGUAGCGGUGAAAUGCGUAGAUAUCAGGAGGAACACCAGUGGCGAAGGCGGCCUGCUGGACUGUAACUGACGUUGAGGCUCGAAAGCGUGGGGAGCAAACAGGAUUAGAUACCCUUGUAGUC
rnacentral:rRNA from 1 species